rnacentral:rRNA from 1 species
GACGAACGCUGGCGGCGUGCCUAAUACAUGCAGGUCGAGCGAACGGACGAGAAGCUUGCUUCUCUGAUGUUAGCGGCGGACGGGUGAGUAACACGUGGAUAACCUACCUAUAAGACUGGGAUAACUUCGGGAAACGGGAGCUAAUACCGGAUAAUAUUUUGAAGCGCAUGGUUCAAAAGUGAAAGACGGUCUUGCUGUCACUUAUAGAUGGAUCCGCGCUGCAUUAGCUAGUUGGUAAGGUAACGGCUUAUCAAGGCAACGAUGCAUAGCCGACCUGAGAGGGUGAUCGGCCACCCUGGAACUGAGACACGGUCCAGACUCCUACGGGAGGCAGCAGUAGGGAAUCUUCCGCAAUGGGCGAAAGCCUGACGGAGCAACGCCGCGUGAGUGAUGAAGGUCUUCGGAUCGUAAAACUCUGUUAUUAGGGAAGAACAUAUGUGUAAGUAACUGUGCACAUCUUGACGGUACCUAAUCAGAAAGCCACGGCUAACUACGUG